GAUUUCUGGCUUGAUACAUUUUGCCGGCCACGGUUUCGUGUGUUAGUGCUUGAUGUUCUGGCCAUCCUUCCAAUCGCUAUUCACCUUUCUUCAUUGAUUGGUGAGUGGUAUUGGAUCUUUUACUUUGAAAAAAUUAGAGUGUUUAAAGCAGGCUUACGCUGUGAAUACAUUAGCAUGGAAUAAUAAUAUAGGACUUUGUUUCUAUUUUGUUGGUUUCUAGGAAUGAAGUAAUGAUUGAUAGGGAUAGUUGGGGGUGCUAGUAUUCAGCGGCCAGAGGUGAAAUUCUUGGAUUCGCUGAAGACUAACUACUGCGAAAGCAUU
rnacentral:rRNA from 1 species